rnacentral:rRNA from 1 species
GACGAACGCUGGCGGCGUGCUUAACACAUGCAAGUCGAACGGAAAGGCCCUGCUUUUGUGGGGUGCUCGAGUGGCGAACGGGUGAGUAACACGUGAGUAAACUGCCCUUGACUUUGGGAUAACUUCAGGAAACUGGGGCUAAUAUCGGAUAGGAGCUCCUGCUGCAUGGUGGGGGUUGGAAAGUUUCGGCGGUUGGGGAUGGACUCGCUGCUUAUCGGCUUGUUGGUGGGGUAGUGGCUUACCAAGGCUUUGACGGGUAGCCGGCCUGGGAGGGUGACCGGCCACAUUGGGACUGAGGUACGGCCCAGACUGCUACGGGCGGCAGCAGUGGGGAAUAUUGCAGAAUGGGGGGAAGCCUGAUGCAGCAACGCCGCGUGCGGGAUGACGGCCUUCGGGUUGUAAACCGCUUUCGCCUGUGACGAAGCGUGAUUGACGGUAAUGGGUAAAGAAGCCCCGGCUAACUACGUG